rnacentral:lncRNA from 1 species
UUUGAGUGCCCCACUGAGGCAAAUUUUCUGGCUCCGUCAGUGAUUGAAGUUGCUUGUCACCCUCCUUCCACAGUGCUUCUGAGUUAGGCAUUGUCAGUGAUGGAAGUAGAUUGUCACCCUCCUUCCACAGUGCUUCUGAGUUAGGCAUUGUCAGUGAUGGAGGUUGCUUGUCACCCUCCUUCCCUUGUGCUUCUGACUUACGCAUUUUUGGAACAGAAGAGUUAUAUACUCAGAUAUUGGUUAUUGUUUCACUGCAAUAGCCAUGUCUC